rnacentral:rRNA from 1 species
UACAGAGGUCUCAAGCGUUGUUCGGAUUCAUUGGGCGUAAAGGGUGCGUAGGUGGCGCGGUAAGUCGGGUGUGAAAUCUCACAGCUUAACUGUGAAACUGCGCUUGAUACUGCUCGGCUAGAGGAUCGGAGGGGUAACGGAAUUUAUGGUGUAGCAGUGAAAUGCGUAGAUAUCAUAAGGAACACCGGUGGCGAAGGCGGUUACCUGGAAGAUUCCUGACUCUGAAACACGAAAGCCAGGGGAGCAAACGGG